rnacentral:rRNA from 1 species
GCUUACGGCCACACCACUGAACACGCCCGAUCUCGUUAUUCGGAAGCUAAGCAGGGCCGGGCCUGGUUAGUACUUGGAUGGGAGACCGCCUGGGAAUACAGGUGCUGUAAGUU